CAGGGCCUACGGGGCGCAGCAGUAGGGAAUAUUGCUCAAUGGGGGAAACCCUGAAGCAGCAACGCCGCGUGGAGGAUGAAGGUUUUCGGAUUGUAAACUCCUUUCGUUAGAGAAGAUAAUGUCGGUAUCUAACAAAUAAGCACCGGCUAACUCCGUGCCAGCAGCCGCGGUAAUACGGAGGGUGCAAGCGUUACUCGGAAUCACUGGGCGUAAAGAGCGCGUAGGCGGGAUAGCAAGUCAGAUGUGAAAUCCUAUGGCUUAACCAUAGAACUGCAUUUGAAACUGUUAUUCUAGAGUAUGGGAGG
rnacentral:rRNA from 1 species